GGGUGGUAAUGCCGGAUGCUCCAUCACACUGCAUGGUGUGUUGGGAAAGCCUUUGCGGCAUGGGAUGGGGUCGCGUCCUAUCAGCUUGAUGGCGGGGUAACGGCCCACCAUGGCUUCGACGGGUAGCCGGCCUGAGAGGGCGACCGGCCACAUUGGGACUGAGAUACGGCCCAGACUCCUACGGGAGGCAGCAGUGGGGAAUAUUGCACAAUGGGCGCAAGCCUGAUGCAGCGACGCCGCGUGAGGGAUGGAGGCCUUCGGGUUGUAAACCUCUUUUGUUAGGGAGCAAGGCAUUUUGUGUUGAGUGUACCUUUCGAAUAAGCACCGGCUAACUACGUGCCAGCAGCCGCGGUAAUACGUAGGGUGCAAGCGUUAUCCGGAAUUAUUGGGCGUAAAGGGCUCGUAGGCGGUUCGUCGCGUCCGGUGUGAAAGUCCAUCGCUUAACGGUGGAUCCGCGCCGGGUACGGGCGGGCUUGAGUGCGGUAGGGGAGACUGGAAUUCCCGGUGUAACGGUGGAAUGUGUAGAUAUCGGAAA
rnacentral:rRNA from 1 species